rnacentral:rRNA from 1 species
AAAACGACUCUCGGCAACGGAUAUCUCGGCUCUCGCAUCGAUGAAGAACGUAGCGAAAUGCGAUACUUGGUGUGAAUUGCAGAAUCCCGUGAACCAUCGAGUCUUUGAACGCAAGUUGCGCCCCAAGCCUUCUGGCCGAGGGCACGUCCGCCUGGGUGUCACAA